GAUGAACGCUGGCGGCGUGCCUAAUACAUGCAAGUCGAGCGAACAGACGAGGAGCUUGCUCCUCUGACGUUAGCGGCGGACGGGUGAGUAACACGUGGAUAACCUACCUAUAAGACUGGGAUAACUUUGGGAAACCGGAGCUAAUACCGGAUAAUAUAUUGAACCGCAUGGUUCAAUAGUGAAAGACGGUUUUGCUGUCACUUAUAGAUGGAUCCGCGCCGCAUUAGCUAGUUGGUAAGGUAACGGCUUACCAAGGCGACGAUGCGUAGCCGACCUGAGAGGGUGAUCGGCCACACUGGAACUGAGACACGGUCCAGACUCCUACGGGAGGCAGCAGUAGGGAAUCUUCCGCAAAGGGCGAAAGCCUGACGGAGCAACGCCGCGUGAGUGAUGAAGGUCUUCGGAUCGUAAAACUCUGUUAUUAGGGAAGAACAAAUGUGUAAGUAACUAUGCACGUCUUGACGGUACCUAAUCAGAAAGCCACGGCUAACUACGUG
rnacentral:rRNA from 1 species